GUUGUUGUUAUUGUUGUUGUUGUUGUUAAAAAUGAGUGUACUUUAUGGCUAUAUCUUUGUGAAGAAUGUCGUGGCAGGAAGAGAAAAGAAUGAAGAUUCACAGUGGAGACCAUGAGGCAAUAAUUCCACUUUACUCCAUCUAAUUUCUUUGGCUGAAUCUCAUGCUGAACUCUAAAUCCUGGUGAUCUGUAUGGAGACCCAGUGACCCUCGAGGCGACAAACGUGUAAGAGUUCAAAACAACAGAACCUUUUAUCUGAGAAAAAUGGAAAUCAUUCCAAAUGCUUGAAGGGGCAUGUAGUGGUUUCCAAACUCCAGUGUGCCUGAGACGCUCACUGGAAACUUGCUCAACUUAUCUAUGUAAGUAAUUCUAAAUCAGCUGGUUUGGACUGAAGCCUGCAGAUCUGCAUUUUUAACAAGCACUCUGGAAAUAUCCUCUGAUUGAGAAAUGCUGAACUCGGAGCAAGACCUUAGAGCUUGAUUGCAUUAUAUGAUGGGGACAUUGCAAAAGGGAGAAUGAACUUCGUGCUGAAGAGGAAAAAAGAAAAAUGCUUUUCAUGCUGUAAAGGAGAGAAAAACAGUCCAGGAAAUAGAAACUCCCACCAUCCAGCCUCCCAUCUUGUACUUGAGUCUCCUCUUGCAUCAGCCCCAGCAAAUAAAACAAUCAGUAAAGUGUAAAUGAUGUACUGGGCCUCAUGAAUUCAAUUCUACAAGCACAGAAUGGAGGAGACAUGAUUUCACAGUGGUCCCUGUGAAAAGGUGCGAAGGGCUGGUCUGCUAGGACGCACCUAGUGAAUCAUCAGGGUGAGUCACUGACUUCUUCCCAAAUGAACACGAUCUGGGCUAUGGAUCAGUGCCCAGAACAAAGAAGAGCAAGAGUCACACUGCACUCCAAUGUGACUGAAAUCGGGUGCUUCUGGACCCUCAUCCUAAGAAAGCACUGUCAGUGUGAGCAAACCCAGGAUAAUUAGGCUGGAAUGGUGAAUUUAAGUCCAAUGGAAAGUGGUUGAAAGAAAUAUGAUAUAGAAACCAGGCUACCUGUAGCUAUAUACUUAGCGCUUGUUAAAGUAUAUGACCUGAUGGACAGACACUAUCCUAAAUACUGCACAACCUGAAUUCAUGUAAUUUUCACAAUAACCUUUGACAUAGGUACUGUUAUUAUUGCUUCUAGUUUACAGAUAAGGAAACUAAGACACAGAAAGUUUAUAUAACCUUUCCCAAGGUCACAUAGUUUCAAACUCUGAAAGUUUGGCUCCUAUUUUCAACUGGUACUAGAAAUUAGAAGAGGAAUUCUAUACAUUAUUUGGCUACAGAGGGAAAACAAUAAACCGGAGAGGGUGAUCUAAAAGAAUGAAAUU
rnacentral:lncRNA from 1 species